rnacentral:rRNA from 1 species
GACGAACGCUGGCGGCGUGCCUAAUACAUGCAAGUUGAGCGCUGAAGGUUGGUACUUGUACCAACUGGAUGAGCAGCGAACGGGUGAGUAACGCGUGGGGAAUCUGCCUUUGAGCGGGGGACAACAUUUGGAAACGAAUGCUAAUACCGCAUAAAAACUUUAAACACAAGUUUUAAGUUUGAAGGAUGCAAUUGCAUCACUCAAAGAUGAUCCCGCGUUGUAUUAGCUAGUUGGUGAGGUAAAGGCUCACCAAGGCGAUGAUACAUAGCCGACCUGAGAGGGUGAUCGGCCACAUUGGGACUGGGACACGGCCCAAACUCCUACGGGAGGCAGCAGUAGGGAAUCUUCGGCAAUGGACGAAAGUCUGACCGAGCAACGCCGCGUGAGUGAAGAAGGUUUUCGGAUCGUAAAACUCUGUUGGUAGAGAAGAACGUUGGUGAGAGUGGAAAGCUCAUCAAGUGACGGUAACUACCCAGAAAGGGACGGCUAACUACGUG